CCCCUCUGGCAAUAGGCAAAGGCACAUCUUGUUGGUGGUGUUCUUAUAUCAGUCAGGGACAGAGCAUAUGGCAGUCCUUUGUUCAUUCAAGCUUGAUGCCUGUCUUGAUGGCCAAAACUGUCUUAUGCCUAGGACUCAUAU